CCGGGUAUGGUGUAACGGCAACAUUCCUGACUCUCAACAUCUUGUUCUUCAAGAUUGAGCGCUCAGGGGCCCGGGGCUCGAUUCUCCGUAUCCGAG